rnacentral:tRNA from 1 species
GUCAGGAUGGCCGAGCGGUCCAAGGCGCUGCGUUCAGGUCGCAGUCCGGACUUCCGGGCGUGGGUUCGAAUCCCACUUCUGACA